rnacentral:rRNA from 1 species
UACGGGGGGAGCAAGCGUUGUUCGGAAUUACUGGGCGUAAAGGGCUCGUAGGCGGCCAACUAAGUCAUACGUGAAAUCCCUCAGCUUAACUGGGGAACUGCGUGUGAUACUGGAUGGCUUGGAUUUGGGAGAGGGAUGCGGAAUUCCAGGUGUAGCGGUGAAAUGCGUAGAGAUCUGGAGGAAUACCAGAGGCGAAGGCGGCUUGCUGGGGUGGAAUUGACGCUCAGACACGAAAGCAUGGGGAGCGAACGGG